ACGACACACGCUUACUCGUCCCACAAUUACAUACAACUUAAUAGCGAAUCCUCUUGAAAGAGGGGUGCCUUCAAGAAUGGGGAAACAAGUGGUGCAUGGCUGUCGUCAGCUCGUGCCGUAAGGUGUCGAGUUAAGACCUACAACGAGCGCAACCUUCAUGUUUAGUUUCCAACCAUUGAGGUUGGAACCAUGAGUAAAUUGUCGGUGAUAAGCCAGAGGAAGGUGAGGAUGAUGUCAAGUCAUCAUGCCCCUUAUGCCCUGGGCGACACACGUGUUAUAAUGGCCGGGACAAAGAGUUGUGAUCCCGCGAAGGUGAGCUAACUCCAAAAUCUCAUCCUCAGUUCGGAUUGUAGGCUGCAACUCGCCUGCAUGAAGUC
rnacentral:ncRNA from 1 species